UCAUGCUUAUGCUCACUAGUUUUAUCAAAGACAAUGAUCCAAAUAGCUUAGACAUACUUCUAAAUGCUUAUAAGACAUCACUGAUGGAUUUAACUAUGGCAUAGCAACAAUCAGAGCUGGACUGAGUCAAGACAAGCAGAUUUCAAUCUCUAACAAUGACAAUGCAAGUUCUAUACAAUACAUUGACAUCCUAGGUUAUUCUAUAUAUAUAUGAAUUUUUUUUUUUUUUUUUUUAAGUUCUCUAAAUGCAAUGCAAGCUUACAUCAGUACAUUUGCAAUUUAGGCUCAUUUUUAAAUGCAUUACUACAUGAAUGCACAAUCUUAAAGCAUUAGCUAUAUGAAUGCAACAGGUUCAAUCCAUGAGCAAUAUUAAGGCUAUGCACAACAGUUUCAAUCAAAACCAAUGAUGCAAGCAACUUAGACAAUUUCUAAUUGAUGCAAGACUUUCAUUGAUGGAUUAAACAUAGGCAAUAGCAUCAGAUAACAAUAGGAUUGAAUUUAGACAUUAUGAGUCAUGUUUAUGUAUGCAAAACGACUUAUCAAUCAUGACGCAAGCAGCAGAGACAUUCUACUCAAUUCUACAACACAUUCAUGAUGAUUCAAGCUAUGGCAACACACAAGACAAUGCAAUAAAUAGAACAUGAGAUUCUGGGACUCUAGACAUUACUUAAUAUCAAUAAGACAAUGCAGCAGCACCACAUUUUCAGUGCAAUUAGCUUAGACAUUCUACUAGAAGCUAUAAACUCUUAAUGGAAUUAGGGAAAGCACAGAGUAUAAUCAAGAGAUAAACCUAUCAAGACAUAUUAAAAUGGAUGAGACUAGGUUUACUCCCUUGUUUAAGGUGAUGAGGAGUGGUUCUUAAAGUUGCCACUUGAAUCCUCACUUCUUCUUCUUCUUCUCUUAUUGCAAUCACCCUUCUGAAUUAACCACCAUGAUGGAAUGCUUGUGGAUGCUUCAGCUACUUCUUCAAUCACCU
rnacentral:lncRNA from 1 species